UGACCACUUCCUCUCUGGAAGUUAAGGCCAUACGGACAGCCGGGUCAAAUGCCGA
rnacentral:sRNA from 17 species